rnacentral:rRNA from 1 species
CGGGGUGAGUAAGGCGUGGAUAACCUGCCUCACACUGGGGGAUAACAGUUAGAAAUGACUGCUAAUACCGCAUAAGCGCACAGUACCGCAUGGUACAGUGUGAAAAACUCCGGUGGUGUGAGAUGGAUCCGCGUCUGAUUAGCCAGUUGGCGGGGUAACGGCCCACCAAAGCGACGAUCAGUAGCCGACCUGAGAGGGUGACCGGCCACAUUGGGACUGAGACACGGCCCAA